rnacentral:rRNA from 1 species
UACGUAGGGUGCGAGCGUUAAUCGGAAUUACUGGGCGUAAAGUGUGCGCAGGCGGCAGAGCAAGUCGAGUGUGAAAGCCCCGGGCUUAACUUGGGAAUUGCGCUCGAAACUACUUUGCUGGAGUGUGGCAGAGGAAACUAGAAUUCCUGGUGUAGCAGUGAAAUGCGUAGAUAUCAGGAGGAAUACCGAUGGCGAAGGCAGGUCUCUGGGCCAAUACUGACGCUCAUGCACGAAAGCGUGGGGAGCAAACAGG